rnacentral:rRNA from 1 species
UACGAAGGGGGCUAGCGUUGCUCGGAAUUACUGGGCGUAAAGGGAGCGUAGGCGGAUAGUUUAGUCAGAGGUGAAAGCCCAGGGCUCAACCCUGGAAUUGCCUUUGAUACUGGCUAUCUUGAGUUCGGGAGAGGUGAGUGGAAUGCCGAGUGUAGAGGUGAAAUUCGUAGAUAUUCGGCGGAACACCAGUGGCGAAGGCGACUCACUGGCCCGAUACUGACGCUGAGGCGCGAAAGCGUGGGGAGCAAACAGG